rnacentral:rRNA from 1 species
UACGUAGGGUGCAAGCGUUGUCCGGAAUUAUUGGGCGUAAAGAGCUCGUAGGCGGUUUGUCGCGUCUGCUGUGAAAACCCGAGGCUCAACCUCGGGCCUGCAGUGGGGUACGGGCAGACUAGAGUGGCGGUAGGGGAGAUUGGAAUUCCUGGUGUAAGCGGUGGAAUGCGCAGAUAGUCAGGAAGAACACCCGUGGCGAAGGCGGCUCUCUGGGACGGUACUGACGCUGAGACGCGAAAGCGUGGGGAGCGAACAGG